ACGUGGGGCCUGUGCGUAUCUACUAAACUGGAACUAGAGAGAAGAUGAGCAUGGCUCCUAUGCAAGGAUGGCAUGUGAAUUCAUGGAGCAUUCCAUAUUUUU